GCUGGGUGUGGUGGUGCAUGCCUGUAAUCCCAGCAGCUUGGGAGGCUGCGGCAGGAGGGUGGUGAGUUCAAAGCCAGCCUCAU
rnacentral:sRNA from 1 species